rnacentral:snRNA from 14 species
GAACUUAAUUGUUCACUUAACUGGUGGGGAAAUACCACUAAAAAUAUAUGGUUUGUAUAUCUCACUCUUGAUGUAACCAUUGUUUUUCCCCAAAAAAGGAAAAAUAAAAGUGAAUAAUUUGUGGUAGUAGGGAACUGUGUUUGUGUUCUUCCGCU